rnacentral:rRNA from 1 species
GGCAUAACUAUCAUCUGAUAGUUAUAGGAAAGAAGUUUAUUAAGAAAAAGAACAAAUUUUACAAUUGUAGAAAUCGUAAGAUUUUAACAAGUAAUCAAUGAAAAUAUCUGAUCUAUCAACUAGUUGGUAGUAUAGAGGACUACCAAGGUUAUAACGGAUAACGAGAAAUUAGGGUUUGACAUCGGAGAAGGAGCUUUAAAAAUGGCUACUACUUCUAAGGAAGGCAGCAGGCGCGUAAAUUACCCACUUUUAACAUAAAGAGGUAGUGACGACAAAUAACUCUUUUAAAGCCGUAGGGUUUUAA